rnacentral:tRNA from 1 species
GGCCGUGUGGCGAAAUGGCAUCGCGUCUGACUACGAUUGAGCACCCUUGUUGCUUGGUAUUGGAAUCAGGAGAUUGCAGGUUCGACCCCUGUCUCGGUCA